rnacentral:rRNA from 1 species
UACGUAGGGUGCAAGCGUUACUCGGAAUUACUGGGCGUACAGCGUGCGCAGGCGGUUAUGCAAAACAGAUGUGAAAUCCCCGGGCUUAACCUGGGAACCGCAUUUGUGACUGCAUAGCUGGAGUACGGCAGAGGGGGAUGGAAUUCCGCGUGUAGCAGUGAAAUGCGUAGAUAUGCGGAGGAACACCGAUGGCGAAGGCAGUCCCCUGGGCCUGUACUGACGCUCAUGCACGAAAGCGUGGGGAGCAAACAGG